UCUACGGGAGGCAGCAGUGAGGAAUAUUGGUCAAUGGGCGGAAGCCUGAACCAGCCAAGUAGCGUGCAGGAUGACGGCCCUACGGGUUGUAAACUGCUUUUAUACGGGAAUAACGCGCCUUACGUGUAGGGCUUUGCUUGUACCGUCUGAAUAAGGACCGGCUAAUUCCGUGCCCGCAGCCGCGGUAAUACGGAAGGUCCGGGCGUUAUCCGGAUUUAUUGGGUUUAAAGGGCGCGUAGGCCGCAUGUCAAGCGUGCUGUGAAAUGUCCGGGCUCAACCCGGGCCUUGCAGCGCGAACUGGCGUGCGUGAGUCCGCGGAAAGCAGGCGGAAUUCGUCGUGUAGCGGUGAAAUGCUUAGAUAUGACGAAGAACCCCGAUUGCGAAGGCAGCUUGCUGCAGCGGAACUGACGCUGAUGCUCGAAAGCGCGGGUAUCGAACAGGAUUAGAUACCCGUGUAGUC
rnacentral:rRNA from 1 species